GCUAAACGCGAAGAACCUUACCAGGCCUUGACAUGUCCUCUAUGAGAUCCAGAGACGGAUCUCUUCACUUCGGGUGGGAGGAACACAGGUGCUGCAUGGCUGUCGUCAGCUCGUGUCGUGAGAUGUUGGGUUAAGUCCCGCAACGAGCGCAACCCUCAUCCUUAGUUGCCAUCAUUAAGUUGGGAACUCUAAGGAAACUGCCGGUGACAAGCCGGAGGAAGGUGGGGAUGACGUCAAGUCUUCAUGGCCCUUACGGCCUGGGCUACACACGUGCUACAAUGGCAGUGACAAUGGGACGCUACCUCGCGAGGGGAUGCUAAUCUCAAAAAGCUGCCUCAGUUCGGAUUGUACUCUGCAACUCGAGUGCAUGAAGUUGGAAUCGCUAGUAAUCGCGCAUCAGCAUGGCGCGGUGAAUACGUUCCCGGGUCUUGUACACACCG
rnacentral:rRNA from 1 species